GAUAAACGCUAGCGGCAGGCUUAACACAUGCAAGUCGAGGGGCAGCAUAGAUUGUAGCAAUACAAUUGGUGGCGACCGGCGCACGGGUGCGUAACGCGUAUGCAACCUACCCGUCACAGGGGGAUAAUCCGGAGAAAUCUGGUCUAAUACCUCAUAACAUAUGGAUCGGCAUCGGUUCAUGUUGAAAUUUUCGGAGGUGACGGAUGGGCAUGCGUAGCAUUAGCUUGUUGGUGAGGUAACGGCUCACCAAGGCGACGAUGCUUAGGGGGACUGAGAGAUUUUCCCCCCACACUGGUAGUGGGACACGGACCAGACGCCUGCGGGAGGCAGCAGUGAGGAAGAUUGGUCAAUGGGCGCAAGCCUGAACCAGCCAUGCCGCGUGCAGGAUGUCGGCUCUAUGAGUUGUAAACUGCUUUUGUACGAGGGUAAAGUGGGUUACGUGUAACCUUUUGAAAGUAUCGUACGAAGAAGGAUCGGCUAGCUCCGUGCCAGCAGCCGCCGUAA
rnacentral:rRNA from 1 species